UACAAGAGGCUAUAUAUACGAAGAAUCGGAGUCAGCAAAGCCCAUUUGGAUCCUGCUUGCUAAGGCAUUAGAACUUGGCAGUCAUCUCAUCAGGAAACUACAACAGGUGAAAGUCCCGUGCUGGCCAUUUUGUAAGCAAGCCAGCCAGUAUGGUGAAAGUCCGGUGUUGGCCAUUUUGUGAACCAGCAAGCUAGUUAGGUGAAAGUCCGGUGUUGGCCAUUUUGUGAACCAGCAAGCCAGUUAGGUGAAAGUCCGGUGCUGGCCAAUUUGUUAGCAUGCGAGUCAGUAAGGUGAAAGUCCGGUGCUGACCAAUUUGUUAGCAUGCAAGUCAGUAAGGUGAAAGUCCGGUGCUGACCAAAUUGUUAGCAUGCAAGUCAGUAAGGUGAAAGUUCGGUGUUGGCCAUUUUGUGAGCAAGCCAGUAAGCCAGCUAGGUGAAGGUCUGGUGCUGGCCAUUUUGUGAACAAGCAAGCCAGUUAGGUGAAAGUCCAGUGUUGGCCAUGUUGUAAGAAAGCAAGCAAGUCAGGUUGACUUCAAGUCUGCGCAUCUGGAAGAAACUUUUUUUUUUCUUUUUUUAUAUAUGACUGUUUGACCAGAAUAAAAACACUUGCAAUA